UCUGGUUGAUCCUGGCGGAGGUUACUGCUAUCGAGGUUCGACUAAGCCAUGCGAGUCGAAUGUAGCAAUACAUGGCGUACUGCUCAGUAACACGUGGACAACCUACCCUUAGGUCGGGGGUAAACCCGGGAAACUGGGUAUAAUACCCGAUAGUCCUCGGAUGCUGGAAUGCACCGAGGUCUAAAGCUCCGGCGCCUAAGGAUGGGUCUGCGGCCUAUCAGGUAGUAGUGGGUGUAGCGUACCUACUAGCCUACGACGGGUACGGGUUGUGAGAGCAAGAGCCCGGAGAUGGAUUCUGAAACACGAAUCCAGGCCCUACGGGGUGCAGCAGGCGCGAAAACUUUACAAUGCUGGAAACAGCGAUAAGGGGACCUCGAGUGCCAGGUUACAAAUCUGGCUGUCGUGAUGCCUAAAAAGCAUUGCAUAGCAAGGGCCGGGCAAGACCGGUGCCAGCCGCCGCGGUAACACCGGCGGCUCGAGUGGUAACCGCUAUUAUUGGGUCUAAAGGGUCUGUAGCCGGCCGGAUAAGUCUUUUGGGAAAUCUGGCAGCUUAACUGUCAGGCUUUCAGAGGAUACUGUCUGGCUCGAGGCCGGGAGAGGUGAGAGGUACUUCAGGGGUAGGGGUGAAAUCUUGUAAUCCUUGAAGGACCACCAGUGGCGAAGGCGUCUCACCAGAACGGACCUGACGGCAAGGGAC
rnacentral:rRNA from 1 species